AGGUUAGGAAAUGCUGUUUGAUGCAGUUUGAUGUUUCGAGACAUAACCUGUUUCGCUGCUUCGUCGUUCAUGGCUCCAGUGUUGAAAUAAUCAUGAAAUAAAACGUAAUUAGUCGAUUAGGAAGGAAACAUUGAAAAUACGCAGUCCCAGUUUCAACUCACACUUCGGUUGUGACCUCGAAAUAAAUAAUGAAUGAAGAAAAGGGAGAAUCUCCUCUGAAAAAAAUUCGUUGGUCAAGAAAAGCUGCAACGAAGAAAUUUGCUAUGUUAUUCUUUGGACUAUUUGGUAUGGUUGGACUCUCAUUCAGCCCGACAAUCUUUGCUAUGACGUUCCCUGAUAUUUUCAAGGAGUAUAGAAGAGAACUCACCUCACAUAUACCCCCAGGCAAACGAGUAGAUUAGUAAACUAAAGUAAGCAAUCGUCUUAAAUCAUUUAUAUUUAUUUUAAAAAAAAUUAUGUACACAGAAUAAAUGAUUUAACAUUGUCGCACGCUCGAUUAGUGUCUGUACAAUCUUCAAACAGUUCAACGUA